UAUCUGCCCUUUUUGAGGAGGGAAAUACCAGAAAAUUAAUCACCACAGGAAAGCUCAAAAAGUUUCUCAACGAGCUCUGCUUUCCAGUGUUCCACUUUCUAUUUACCAUUUUAUCUACCUUCUAUCUUCAAAUUACUUCUGCAGCCUGGAUCGGACAGCAAAUUUGUACUUCUCCACUAACUCACUUUCUGUUGGCCACAGCCGAAUUGUACAUCUUGACUCCUUUUUUUUUUUUUUUUUACAGCUUUUCCAUACUGGGGCCCACUUCCUGCCCAGUUGAGGAAAAAAAUCUGGCCUGAAGAUGAAAUGACUGCUUAACAUUACACUAAAACAUCUGGUACCAUUUUAUGCACAGACCCAUGUCUGAGAGCAGGCGAUUCUAGCGGUCUCUCCAGCGGCACAGCGCAUACCCAAACCUCCCCAGGGUGACAUCAUCCCAUAUAUGGACUCUCCAGCCCAGCCCUCCCCCUUUUCCUGGUCCUAAAUUCAUUGCCAGUUCCCCAGUCUGCAGCAAAUGUGCCACGUCAAGACUGGAAAUCACAGCCCUUGAGUGUGUCUCAGUCAGUGCAGCAGAAUUCAGGGGGGAAAGCCGAAUGCAACCCCUGGUGCAGGAAGGGAGGCUUUUCCCAAGGACCAGGAGAGGAUUUUAAGUACAUAGAUGGAAGCUUCUGGAGAUCCUGCUCCGUCGCCCCAGUGUUCAGACUACCUGUUCAGGACAAUGCCGUUGUACAGUAGUCUGCACAUUGGUUAGACUGGGCAAGGGAGAGCAACGCCACGGACUGCUGGGGACAAACAGAAUUUGCUGUGUCCAAGGAGAAGACGUUUAUUUGCUCCUCUUUUUGAAUCUCAUAUCCAGUGUUUUUCUUCACAGGUUUUGCACACGAGGGAUCACGAAGCCCUCGGGGACAGUGCCGGGAAGGGACGCUCGAGAGGAGAGCUGCGGGUAAGGCCUUCUUGACUGCUCACCUGGUCUAUGGCCAGGCGAACCUAGGUGGGGGUCCCAGGAUUUGCCUGAACAUACGAGGAAGACAGAGGUGUAUGUGUGCUGUGUAGCGAUUCAUUUAAUGUUGAAAGAGCAAUAAUGCGUGGUGUAAUGUGAUUUACCGUGUUUGAUCUCUGAAGAUUGAUCAUUCAAGAGUUUUUAUAAGUUCACAGGUUUUUCUCACAUCAAAAUGAGAUCUGAAGAGACCCGCUCCACCUAAGAAUAGCUUAACGAGGCAAGCUUUAAAUUGUUGAAAUUAAUAAUUAAGAGAUUUUAAAAUUUCUAUGAAUGAGGACUGUAUGGGUAACUCUCAACAUCCCAGGAUUGACUCCAUUUUGCCCUUAAGAAUAGUUGUUAUCUUCUACUUACCAAAUAGAUAAGGCUUUUCUGAAUAUUUACUGAGAUAAUAUCAACAUCAGGAAUAAAAGUACCUAUCAAAAAAGGAAGAGCCUGCCAAGUUUUUGCCCCACCAGACAACACAGAUGAGACUUGCACAGACACGAGUGCCAACCCACAAAUUUAUUCAGUCAGCAACUGAAUAAAUCAGAGAAUGGAAACCUCUAUCUUUAGAUACAUAUAUAUAUAUAUAUAUCCUCUGUAUUUGCAUAUUUUAAAAAGAAUCCUAGAAUGGCUGAUAAUCGCUGGUCAGCUGAGCUCUCUUGCCUACAUUUUACAAUGCGUCCACUUCUCUCAGCAUUUAAGAUGAUAAGGUACUUUGUCUAGAAACCACUGAUAAAAAAGGAAUUUGUAAACGAAGGCAAAACUUUUCUUUGGUUGAUUUCCAGCUGUCCUGGAGGUGAAGGAGGGUGGGAGAGGGGGAGGAAGGUGGGAGGGAAAAGCCUCAAGCUGAAUGAAAUCCUAAUAGAAAAAACAACAGACAGUCUGGAUUGCAAAAUGACCUGUGUGAUCUCGCUGAACUUAGAAGUGGGUGCCCUAAAGAAAGUUCUGGAAAAAUGUUCCUGCCUCACUCCUAAUUCUCUCAAUCCCCAUUUAUUUCCACCCCCAAACAAUUCUAUGUAAUGAAAACAUCUGUUCUUCUGUAGGCUUUUGUAAGAAGAAGCAAUCUCUUUGUCUUGCUUUAACUUCCCUGAAGGACCAGGGCUUCCUGAAUAAAUUCUUCUCUGAAUUAUUCAUUUUGCAACGAUUCAAAAAUUGACAUAGGUUCUCUUUUGCAAGGCAUUUUAUUAAAAAAAAACUCACCGAAUUUCACUUUUGUCAAAACAAUUUAUUUUAAAAUUGCCCUGAUAAUCAUCCCAAAACUGGUGUAAAGAACACAUAGUUUUCUCAUCUAUUCAUGGGUUUUGGUUAAAAUAUAAACAGCAAGGUGAAAUUUAGACAUCUUCAAUUAGAUGAUACAAUAUAUUCACCCUUCGUUUUAUAUUGUGAACUGGGCACUUUCAUAUUAAUUAUAUUUACAAGAACAAGUAAGAUCAUAAAAAUGCAUAUAAUUCCUUUUGACUAAGAAAACAAAAAUCUAUGAGGGUAGCUUGCAGAGAAUUUUUUAUAAAAAAUGCAUUUUUAUUAACUGAUCCAAGUACUGAAGAGGAAUGAUAGUUACAAGGUACCAUAGCCAUGUUUAAGGUUUACUCAAAGUUUUUUUUUUUUAACCUGCUUUCAUUUAAUUUAUAUUUAAUUUAAAUUUCUUUGUUCAUAUUAAAUGACCCUUUGUGUCUCAAAGAAACCAACCACUGCUGGUCCCUCACUUAUUUUCUCCAUCAGGAUGAUAUUUAGUACAAGGGUAAAAGGGACAUAAAGUUACCCUUGGCGACAGUACUGGAACAGAAAUAAGAGAAUUACUUCAUAAAGGGGGUGACCAAGGAACCUCUGCACAUGCUCGCUGGAGUGCAAACAACUCAUUCAUGACGCAAACUUAACAAAUGGAAAGGAACAGUACUUAUCUUAAAAUAUUAAGAGUUAAAGACAAAAAGAAAAAGGUCGUUUUAUAAACUCCUGCUGAAUGAGGGCAGAAUGGUAGAUUAUGCCAACAUCUGUACAAACAUACUUUAGAACACCCAUAGCUAUUUCCAGGGUAAUUAAUGUUUAAUUGUACUUUGAUAUUACUUUAAAGGGAGAUAUACAAAUAUUUUAGGGAUCAUGGAAUCUAUUCCAGAGGAAACUAACCAACAAUGAAUAUCUUCAACUAAAACUACCCCUGGAUUUAAUGGUUGCAUGCAUCAUUCCUUUAAUUGGGCAGAGUUAACUGGAUCAAAUUAUUUAUGGGCGAGACAGGGAAAACUAUAUAGAAUUAUAGUAAUUUUUAAUUUCCACCACCAUAUUCUUUGUAAGUGAAUCAUACUAUAAUUAUUUUCUGUUGCAUUGAAUGCAGCAACAAUAACAAAAUAGUAACAGAAGGUAUUUGUUUUUUACAUACUUUGAUCUUGUAAUUAUUGAAAUAUCAGCCAAGUUUAUUGAUGUUUUUGAUUGUGUUAAGAAAAAAAAAAGUUCUGCUCUGAAGUGAUUGUCAGAAACAAUAAGACAUUUAAUUUCUUGAAAUUAAAUACAGAGAAGACUGUAUUUAUCAAUUCUUUGUUUAAACUUUGUGAUAUCUAAUCACUGCAUAAAGGUUCAGAUUUGUGGGCAACUGUACUUUUUUCAGUCUCUAAAAACUAUUUUUCUCUCCAUAAAGUUUCCAUUUGCUAUUUCCUCAGAAUUUUACAAUUAAAGGUAAAUAAUAAAUUAUUUGUUUUCUUUAAAGUUCCUUUAAAAAAUCCCAAGAAACCUCCUUAGAUAAUAAUGUGUGUUCUGUUGUUUUUUAAAGAAAUCCCACUUACUAGAAAUUUGACCAUUUUGAUAUUUUGCUUGGGGAGGGGAGUUUGCUAAAUAUUUUUAUAGAUUUGAAUUUAUAAAUAAUAUUAAAAUCACCAGGCUAAUUGUUUUUGACUCAUCAGGAUUACUAUUAUAUCUAUAUAUGUAUGCCAUUAACUCUUUCUUGUAUGAAUUAUAAGAAAAUUUUCCAAAAGGUCUGAUUUUGGUUUUGGGGUAUGAAGCAGAUUUUUCCCUUUCUGGGUUUCACAUACUAUUCUGGAUGGCACUGACAAUGCCCAAGCACAUCUGCGCACCACUGUGGGUAGAGGCCUCCCAGUAUGGCAGGUCCCUGAAGUUAAUUAAGAGGAGGAUAACUUAGGCCCACAAUGUCUUUUAUCUGAAUUUCACAUCCGUACUUAGUAACUUUGCAUUUAAAAGGAAAAUGAGAAAUAAGUUUGUGUCAUUUAACAUAAUGUUGGUAACAAUACAUCCCUUGUAAAAUCCCACUAUUAAAGCAUCAGACACCAAAGGCUGUUGGAUUCAGUGCCAACUAUAUUAGGCUCAUUAAUUAUUUUGAAAAUGGCUGUCAUUUCCAUAUAAAUGAAAAUUUUCUUUUUCAUGGACAAAGUUAUGGUAUUUAUCUACUACAAGAAACAUGUAUAAACAACCUCAUUAUCUUUAACUUCAGUAUUAAAAUAUGCAGAGUCUUUGUGAAGAGGAAAAACAUCUGGUUCAAUUACUCUGAACUCUGACUGCAUGUGGGCCAGUAAUAAUAUGGAUUGGAUUUAAGAAUAAACCUUGUGUUUAAUCUUUAUUUUUCCUUAAAGUUUUAAUGUGAGUGUUCUGUUAUUCCAAUUAUCCAUGUUAGCACGUUUGGAACAAAUGUAUAAGUGUACUUUCUGAAUAAAGUCAAACGUCUAACUUGUUUUUAGUUCCAUAAUGUUUUAAUGUUUAAUUCUAUUGUGUGUUUUUCUCCCUUUCCCCUUACUCUCCAAAAUCACCAAAUCUGGAAAACAGACUGAUUGUAUCUGUUCAUGAACAAAGGAAACCUGAAGGAACCAAGGGCCUGGCUGGACAGAGUUGUCAUGUGUCUGCCUGUCUACACUUGCUGUGCAGAACAUCCGCUCACCUGUACAGCAGGCACAGACAGGCAGUCACAUGACAACCCAGCCUGAAUGACCACCAGCCAUUGAAAGAAGGCAGCCCUCACACCAUACAAUCUACACCAAGAGCUACAACCAAAAUGAGGGGCUUGGGGGCCUGGGAAUUUAAUCUGUUAACUUAAUACUUAACUCGUAUGUAUUAUUAUUUUAUUUUGAUUCAAAUAUUAAAACCCACCAAAAGUAAAGUAAGUGGUGCCUAUUAAAUAUAAUAAAACCCAUUUCUGAAAAUGUU